ACCACCUGCUCUAGGUGUUUCUACUUGAGCAGGAUCUUGGACCAGGUGACCUUCAGAUCUCAGAUCUUCCUUCCAACCUCAGCCAUUCUGUGACUCUGUGGUUCUGUAAAAAUGUAGAAAGGUGCUCUGUAUCACUUUGUUUUGGGACUCAACAAGGCUUGAAUGAUGAAUGGCAUUUCUCAUCAUAGUUCAAUCAUGACUGAAAUUAAAUGAAGUAAAACACCCCAAACUGAUAGGACUUCUGUGCAUAGUGCUUUACAUUGUUUUAUGGUAGUUGCAGUAUCUUUCUUUUGCUGAAUGAUAAGGUACCUAGAGGAAGAAAUCUGACAUAAGCUUUUUAAUUUUAUAGUUUUUUUAGAAAAACAUUUUUUUCCCCCAUCUUAGUGAACACAGUCAUGUAAGAGAAACUGAGGGUGCUGCUCUUCCUGUUCUUUUCAAAAUUUGGACUUAGCCGAGAUCAACAUUUUGGCUCCGUGAAAUCAUUUAGAAAACUCCCAUUGACUCUACUGAGGUCAGGAAGGUAACAUUAGGUAAUUGGCGCUAUGCUGUUCUCUCUAUUGUCUUAAUAAAAAAGUUAAGAGGUGGUUCUAAAUCAGAUUUACAGAUGUAUAGUUUUCAAGCCCAAAUUUUAUUUGAAAGAAAGCCGAGACACAUGUUCUUUAAAUUAGUGUAGCUUGUUUGUGAUACAGUUAACUUACAGGGUGUGUUUGGCAGGGGGAAAUGGUGUAUACACUCAGGAUUGUUUACACUGCAAAUCCUAGGCAACAGUCUUCCUUUUUGGAGUUAUAUGUCAGUAAUACAGGAUCUCUCAAAUCUAACAAGAUGAAAAUAAAACAAGAUUAGGAUGAUAAGUUUUUAUAUAACUAUACCUGUAAACUGUAAGGAUUUCUUUUACAUUUAUUUGGAAAAAGUUACUUAAAUUGUUGCUUGCACUAAGUAGAAUGGAGAUUCUAAAUAUUGGCUGCUGAACUAGCUAGGGAGUAGCCAAACAAAGGAGGAGGAAAGAGAGACAAAGAAAUGUGACUAAAUGUCUGAGGGUGACCUUAAGCAUAUGCAGAUGUUAAUAUGCAAUAAAUUGAAGUCUUAUACAACGUAUACAACUGUCUUAUCAACUGUAAGUUGGUCUAUACAUUACCUAUGAAAUAGUGCUGUUUUUCCAAAACUAUUAGACUAGUUUAGCUGAAGCUUAUGUAAUGUAUGUGGGAUUUUUAAUGUACAUGCAGUAUUUGCAGUCAGUUUUCUAUUUGGAUGAAUUUAAAAUGAACAUAAAAAUAUAUUUGAUUUUAAAUUAAAUUUAGAAUACUUGUUCCUAUUCAUACUGAUAAAUGAUGGUUUCCAGUUACUCAAAGAUUUAGUCUCAUAAGAAGGCAGAGCUUUGGUGAAACCAACAACAACAACAAAAUAACAACAAACAAAAUCCUUAAUGUAAGUUUUUGAAAGGAUAGUAUUAUUAAAAAAAACAACAACAACAACAAAAACCCUUUAAAGGCCAACACAAGAAAGAUAUGGGGCUUUUGUAGUGUGACUGGAGGAGAGUCAUAAAGGCGAUUGAAGGACUGGAACAAUUCUUCUAUGAGGAACGACUUGAUCAUCUUGGAGAAGAAAAUGCUUUGAGGAGACUUCAUUGUGGCCUUUCAGUCCUCAGGAGGGAGCUUACAAGCAGGAGGGGGACGCACUUUUUACACAGUCUGAUCGUGAUAGGACAAGGGGGAAUGGCUUUAAACUAAAAGAAAGGAGAUUUAGUUAAGAGGUUAGAAAGAAACUCUUUACUCAGAGUCGCCCAGAGAAGCUGUGGAUGCUCUAUCCCUAGAGGCCACCUGAUCUGGUGGGUGGCAACCCUACCCAUAGAAGGGGGUUGGAACUAGAUUAUGUGAUUCUGUGAUAAAGAGAAGCAAAAAGAAAAGAAAGAUAUAUUUCCAAGAAGAUUUGGAGUCAGAAUAUAUACUUAGGAAAAUGCAGGUUUCAUAGAAAAAAAAAAAAAAAAAAGGAUUAAAUUCUCAAAUAGUAGAAGCAAAAUUGAAAAUGUAGAAAUCAAAUUUCUUCAAGAAAGAAAAUCUGUGUGCUGUUGUGGCAUUAGGAAAGAUAAAUUUGUGUGUGGUCAUUUGAAUGCAAUAAUGAUAUACAUCUCUAAUUGAAGGAAGGGGAUUUUGGCCCACAAAGUCAUUGUUUACCAGUCAGAAAAGAGAUUUAAGAAACUACAGCCUUGUCUUUAUUCUAAUUUGUAGAUUUUGAGUAAAUCAAGGAGUGCUCUGUUUAGAUUAGUUUUUGCUGAAUGUCCCUGUUUACUUGUACUAAGUGCUGCUCAAGAAAUUGAGAAGACAUAGACCAGACAUUCUAUAAUUUAAACAGACUGAUAACAGAAAACAUACUGUAUGCUAAGGGGAAGUGUCUGUUGAUUUUGCCUUCAUUUUCAUUCAUUUAUUAAUUUAAAUAGAUUUUAAGCCACCUGCAUCAAUUUGUCCAUAUUUGACUAAGAGUUGGCCAUAGACCAGGAUAGCAGCAGAAUCAGCUCAUGAGAGUGAAAGUUCUGUUGUAGAGCUAGAAGUACAAUGAACUUUUGCAGUAUAAAUGAAGACUAAGAAAAUGUCCAUGGCAUAGGAACUGUUUUAUACAUAAGCGCCGUGUGGGAAUUUUACCUUAAGGCUUAGAGUGCGGAUGCAGGUGUGUAUGAGUUAUGCAGUAUGCUACCUAAAAGUCUGUCAAAUGGGACCCCAAACUGGAGCCAAAAUCCUGAAUCAAGUUCACUGGCUCUCCAGUCAUUUUGUGGAGAGAAUUAGAAAUCUCAGGAAGAUGGCUAAAAAUUUGCACUAGUAGAAAUUUAGCACAGAGCAACAUCUGGACUCUUGCUCCAUCUUUGGAACUUUCAAGGUGCAGGCUUCUCUCAGCUCACAGAGGCCCAGCUCCUCUUAGAGGUUAUUUGGUAAGGCAAUGUUUAGAAUAGACUUCAUCCCACCUGCUGAAAGAAGUGUAAGAUCAAAACAUCACCAAAGCCAGACAUCCUAGGAAAGAGUAUGACUCCAUAUUUAGUAUUUAACGUGAUAAACUUGAUGGUUUAACUCAGUACAAAACUUUAUAUCUAUGGUGCUGAGCUGAUGUCGGCUGUGAUCCCAGAUGUUGGGACUGCGGCUUGGAAGGAAACGUGCAUUCCAUCCGCGUGCUGUGAUAGUGCGAGUGUUACCAGAGGGGCUGUGCUUCUCUGAGCUUAAAGCCGUACCACUGGAAUACAAUCUGUUUUCCAGUCUUCCCUUCUGACCUAUCCACUAGUGAAUUCUGGGGCAAUUUCAGCAGUAGAAGUCUGCUUCCUUCUUGGACCCACAGAGUGAUUAGGGCUUAAAGAUAUGGGCUUAAAUCCCUAUAAGCAGGUUGGAAUAUUAUUACAGUCCUUUCUCAUCCAACUCCUGCGGUUGGCAGCCAAAAAUAACAUCAAAGUGGUAUAAUUUUCUUCCUAGACUUAGUAAAACUUUUGGUAACAUGACAGGUAUAGAGUGGAUAGCCGAUAGUUUGAUCUUGUUACCAGUGUGGAAGAUGUAUGCUAAUUGUAAUGAAUUCAGUUAUUUGUCACUCAGAAGCCUUAUUUUCAGUAAGGUGGGAAAAAAAGGUUGUCCCUCAGGAUUUCUUUUCCGUUAUUCUUUUCUGAAUGAAUUAUAUAGGAAAUAAUUUUACUCAAGACUAUUCCAUAUUAGGAGAAAUGAUAAUUUGUUCCUUUCUGAAUACAGAACACCCUCCAGGCUUCCCUCCCCCACCUUCUGCCCUGACAUCCUUCAUUUUUUAAAGGCUUUUCUGCUUGUACUGAACUGCGUGUGUUAAUACUUGCCCUCCUGCAGUACACGGGUGGAACGUACAGUCCUGUCCCAGAUACAAAUGUUUGGCACAGUGUUUUCAGCCUGGAACAGACUGUUUAUGAGUUUCCUCAGCAGCAUGACAGUGCAGUGUGAUUAAACACUUUCAUUUUUCUCUAUGUUUUACUUUAGUUUAUGUUGACCAAACAUACGACAUUCAAAUUCACCUACUUGGAACCUCACCAAAAUGAAUUAUCAUUAUAUUGUUUGAGAUCAUGGCUUUGUUAACAUGCCAAAAAGCUGGCUAAGAAAGUAAAGAUACAAUGGUAUAUAAAUAAUAAGCAAGGUUAUUUCUACAUAGAAAAUGAAGGCUCUUAUGAGCAAUACAAUGACGUGCUGAUAUUGACUCCACGUGCAAGAGCAGAAUCAACUGACCUAAGUAUAACAAGAUUAUUCUAAAGAGUUGAGUGAAUUUUGUCACUCUGAAAGUAAUUUGCUGUAAAAUAUGAUUUAAUCCAGUUCAGUACUAUUCACAAACUGGCUAACUAACUAGUUUUGUACAGGAAGAAAUGAAGAGAAGGAGGAAAAGAAGAACUAGGAAGGAAAGAAAAUCCCCUUCAUUCUGUAGGUCAGACUUUAGAAUCGUCACUGUAUUCAUAAAUAUGUUUGAAAGUAUUUCCACGGGUGAAUAGUUUGUUUUCUCAGGCAUAUCUCUGUUCAUCAAUUCACAAUGUAUACAGCAGUGGAGCCAAUGGAGCUUUUUCUUUAUGUAAUAAAGAUGUAAAUACUUAGCACAACACAGAAAUACAUUUACAGUAGUUUUAACUUGACGGUGGUUUGUUCACCAGUAGAGUGGGUAGGAAUUUGGCUUCCUUCCUUUAGUUUAGGAAAAACUGUGUGCUUGUAGAAAGUAUAACUGCAGCAAAGGAAAAUAUUUUUAUUCAAUGAAAAUUUUCCUGAAAAUUUUUAGUGGAGCUUACUUAAGGAUAUUCAUGCGGAGAUUGUUCUUCAGCUGUGUAACACACAGUGCUGCCUGCAGAACAGGCUGCUCUAUAAACAAACACUUUUGCAUUCUCACUUUUUGAGGAAAAAGUCUGACAUCAUCAGUCUCCAACUUCCUGUUGUACUACAUCUCAGUUUUGUGCUGGUUUCUGGUCAAGUUCGGGUUUGUUUGGAUGCAGUUCAUUUGAUUAGGUCCUUAAGAUGAAUCUUGGAGAGGCAGAAGUAAUAACACAAACAUGACCUAAAGAAAGUCAGGCUUGGAUUUUUAAAGUUUAUGUUUUUCAGACAUUAUUGUCCGGGAAAAAUUCCAAGGUAAGUAUCCAAAAGUUAUCUAUCAUACUCCUGGAAGACCUGUCCUGAUUUCUAAGUUUCACCUGACUGCUUGUUCAAUUUUAAUUCAAAACUCUGGUCAUUUUCUACCUCUCUUCUUCAAUGCAAAUUGGUGGAGUGGACAAAAACAACAACAACAACAACAACAACAACAACAACAAAAACCUUGAUGAAUUGCAAACUACAGAACUUAGUAACAUAUCUACUUUUAAAAAUGCUUUUUAAAAUAGGCUGGCACAAAGGAUAAUUUACUGCAGAAAAGUUGACUUACAGAUCAUCUCAGGAAGAUCCAAGAACAAAGAAUGGUGACUGCUAUAACCAGUGAAUUAUCAAAAGGAGGAAAAAAAAAAAAAAACAACUCUUUUUUUUUGGUGUGUUCUUGGGUCAGUGCUGCAAGGGAGGUGGUAGGGAAUGUAUAGCAGAUUCAAAAGCACAAAUGACUGCUAAGAGAGAUUGUGCAUGGAGAGAAACACCUCAGCAUGGCAGUAGGACUUAAGAAAGUACUCACCUGCCUCCAUCUUUUGUCUUUUAGUUUGUCUAGGGAACUACAAGCCAAAGUUGGAAAUCUAAAAUUACUCAUUCUUUUUAUUCUCAUUGUCCAGCACCAUAGACGUUAUACCCAGAGCAAAAGGAUUCCAGGCAUCUAAUACAAGAUUUGUUACUAUAUUUUGCUAUUCCAUUUGUGAUAAUGAAGUCCUGUGUGGUCUUGACCCAUAUACAUAUUUUUUUCUCCACUAACACAGUUUAUAUGGAUAAAAAUUUAGACCUGUUGGGAAAUUUCUUCUCCAAAGCAAAAUAAAUUAAUAUAGCCAUCAGACUCUUGAGAAAUGGCAGUGCUUAGGCCUUAGUGUGAUAUCUGUGACCAAUUUAUGGCAUUACAGGUGUUCAGAAGACAAGAGAAAAGAUCUGUGACAGUCUUUCUGUGGGGAAUUCCAAGGCUAAUUGGUUAGGUAAAGGAAAAAAUACAGAGAUUAUAUAUAUUAUAUAUAUAUAUAUAUAAAUGUUAAAAUAAAAAGUGGAAAAUAAACACCUCAGUAAAAUAAAGGAAGGAAGGAAGGAAGGAAGGAAGGAAGGAAGGAAGGAAGGAAGGAAGGAAGGAAGGAAGGAAGGAAGGAAGGAAGGAAGAAAACUAAACUAUAAAUUGAAAGAAUUUUUAUCUUUAAACUACCACAUUGUUUCCUUAUUUAAAAGGUUUUUAAAAGACAAGGAAGUAUUUUCAGCGAAAAUAUUAUCUUCCAUUAUAAUAACCACUAGAAAAACAUUGAACAGCUGUAACAACUAUAAUACAAUACAGCAUGUAGCAAGCAAAACAUUUGCUUGAGAUAUACAAUGGCUGGCAAGUGCAGCCUGACCAAGUUCAGCAGGGGACACCUACAUGAAUAAAGGUCAAAACUCCUCUUUCAUGAUUUUACAAGUUAGCAUUGUCAUAAAGAACAAGUCUGACUGCCUACUGCGGUGACCUGGAAUAAGCUGAUUAAAUAUGUUCUAUAAAUUGGAGGAUGUCAAAGAGCUAUGUGAUGGCAACAAGAAUUCAAGAUCAUAAAAACAAAAGCCAAAGAUUCUCUCAAGUCUAUCUCCACCAGUAGUCCAGUUCCUGAGGUGAGGAGAAUCUCACGUCUGACUGCCUCUGACUUCACAGUAACAGUGACUCAUUUAUAUUUGAAGGUAAAGCUGUGAGAGUCUUUGGAAUAACUCACAUUUUCUGUAGUGUGGAACCUUAAAGAUUCUAUGAUAAUACUUGUAAGCCAAUCAAUACGUGUUUUUUACAGUGAGAAAACUUGCGUAAAACUAAUAGGAAAAGUGAAAAAUCUGAUGCUAAUACUUCCUAUAUUCUGGAAUCUUAAAACUAAAAUUCUGAUUUAAUUAUCUGAAAUAUAUGCAUAGUAUGAAGAUCUUUAGUAUUUAAAUUAUCUUGCUUUAAUGUCGGAAUAAAUAUAGAAAAAUGUUGAAAUAUGGACUUUGUCCUAUAAUUUAAAAUUCUUUAAAUUAGUUAAAAAGAUGGUAUACUUCUGUUUUAGCAGUAUUCUUUUGAUUCCCUGCUGUGUUGGUUUAUUGAUUUUUCUAUAAGCAAGGUAUUUGCUUGGAACAUUGGGAAUGCUUAUAUAAAAAUAAUUUCCUUAAGCUCUCCUUAGUAUGCCUCCCAAAUCCCAAAGCAUGAAUUAGAAGCAGAUUUCAUAUACAAUGUGACCACCAUAAAAUGACCAAUGUAAUGACAUCUGUCAUUGUUAUGUCUUUCAUUUGUUUACAGGCCAGAAAAACAAACAAAUAAGCAGAAAACCCAUUGAAACAACAUUUAUUGAAGCCAAUAAUAAAAAUACACAUUAAUUUAAUUAGUUUACAUUGUGCUGAGGCAUCCGGAUUGCCCCUGAGGGAGAGGGUUUCAAGAAGGCUAUAUUUCAUUGUCUCAGAAAUUUGUUUAUAUGUUUUCUUGUAAUGGACAUCUCAGGGUACAAAGUUAGCCCACAACACAACUGCUUUAUCAGAGUCAGUGCAUCUAAAUAAGGAGUUAAUAAGGAGCAGGUAUGCUACUCUAAGUUUUCUCUGUAGACAACCCCCUAGAUCAUAAUCCUACAGUAAGUUUCAUGUAGACUGAUCCAAUUUCAUGCUGACAAAUUUGGCCAUCAUUGCCACUUUCAGUUGCAGAAAAAUCAUGUUCCUCUUCUAAAAACAUAAGAUUGACUGAUUAGUAAAGUAAUGCUGGCAAGAAAAAAAAAAAAAAAAAAAAAAAAAAGCCCAAACCCCUCUUAUUUAUACUCCAGGUUUUUAAGUUUGUAAUAUAUGCCCCAAACUUUAACAAUCCAGAAAAAUUGGAUGGAAGGGAGGAAGGGAGGAAGGGAGGAAGUGAGGAAGGUGGAUUAAGGAAUUCACCCUAGUUUUAUUGAUUGUUUCCAAAAGUCACCAAGAAAAAUAUCCUGAGUGAUAUUAAACAUUCGAACUUUCAAUAUUUUUUGUCAUUACAACAUCAGAAUGUUAACAUUUAAAAAAUAUAUAAAAGUAAGAGAAAUAAAGAUACGAUUUUAUUGAGCCUGAAGAUGCAAAAAGAGCACCACAGACACUGCCAUCUCUGCUCUGCCUUCAGUGCAAAUUUUGUUAGAUUAAUGUGAUUUUAGUCUACAUUUUCUUCUGUCUUUCUGUCUUGGAGUUUCUUUUGUUGCUUUUACGUUGCCUUAUAUGAAAGUUCUGUGGUUAAGUUAAAUAUUGCCUCUCCUUGACUGUUUAAGAUUCUCUUAUUUAGUCACAAAAUACAUAAGAAAACAUUCUCUUUAUUCUGUGUAGUAGAAGAUAAAGCUGCAAUACCAAUCUUCAAGAGAUGGGUGAAUGCCACAGAAAAAUAUGGUUUUACAAAAAGGAUUCAAGAAGCAUUAAGGAUGGUAUUUAGGCAGAUGAACAGCAUUUCUCCUGAGACAUGGGUUGGUCCAGGAAGGAAUUUGUUUUCCCGAUAAUAAGCCCUUGGACAUUUUCCCAGAGUGGAGUACUGCAAGGAACGCUGUGCAGAAUUUAAGGAGAAGCAAACAAAAACCAGGCAACACAUUGUGGCCACUGGGUCAGUUGUCCUGAGGACCUAUUUAGUGCUGCCUGAGCAUCUAUAUGUUGUAUCCUUUGUUUGCAUAUGGUUCUGCAUUUGGUUGUAAACUAUUAGAGUCAUGUGUUGUAAUUUAUGUGAUGUAUUAUGCUGGUAAUUCAGACUCACACUUCUUACUAACUCUUCUACAAGGUAGAAUAGCAUUACUGAUGGAGUCAGAGGGGGCAUUACCUCAUUUUGUUGGUGCUGCAUUCAGGUUGCCUAGGGCCUUCCAAUGGCUUACCUGCAAAAUAUCAAGGAGAUGCAGCUUCACAGGUACGUUAAACAGAAAGGCAGAGUAUGUGGUAAUAUUUGUGAGCACUGUUGCAUGAAUAUCCUUUUCCUAUACUUGUGUAAAGUGUUCACUGUUUGUUUAAUGAAUCUUAGGCCUCAUAUGCUAUAUUUACUCUUCCAUAUUUAUAUAAGGUUGUAUAAAAGUCUGUCUGGGAUAUUCAACGUAGCUUCUUGGCAACAAGGAUAUGUUCUAUGAAGUUGUUUGCUGUGUUACAAAGUACUUACUGUUGUUUUUGUUAAAAAGACAAAUCCAUGUAUUUUCUGGUUUCUGACUUGGGAGUUUUAUUGCAUGCUCUUACACCUCAUAAUUUGAACAUUUAGUGAAUUGAUAGUUAAUCAUCUGUCUUUUUCCUUCAUCAUAUUCACUCAUUAAAAACACCGUAGCUUCAAAACUUGAAAGUGUGUAUAUAAAAAUAGACAUGUGCAACUAUACAUAUCAGAAGGAAAGGGAAAUGAGAUUUUUUUCUCCUUAUCCACAAGACUAUAAUUCUAUAAAGAUUUGUGUAAUCUCUGCUGAUGAAAACUAGUUAUUAUGUAUGUAUGUGAAAAAGGCAAAAAAUUAAACUCUACAAAGUCUUGGAUUCUAAUGCAUUAGUUGUUUUUUUUUGUUUUGUUUUGUUUUUUGUUUUAACAGUAGAGCUUUUAUUCAUGCUCAUUUGUGGCAUUACAAUUUGGACAUCAUUACUUUUCUAGUCUGGCUGCAAAGAUGCUGAUGAGACACAUGUUUCUGAUUGCAAACAGUAUUCGGCUUGUCUUUGAAAGACUAGAUAAUAAAUCCGUUCUUUCUUGUCUACACAACAAAGGCAUUAUUUAUUACUUUAUCUAUUUCCUGUUAUUAUCAAUUUUUGUUGGUAUAAACAAAAUAAAAUAUAAACAUAAAUAUUAUCUGGAAAAUCCUCAGGAAUUGCCAAAAUGUUUUUCAUUAUGAGGCAUGUGUCCAGCCUCUAUUUCUAGUUUCUACCAUAAGUGUUGAGCAACAUAUAGUUGCUGACAUGAAAAAAAAACACAUCCCAUGCAUUAAUGUAGCACCUCUGAUAUACUGCAAACA